UGACUUCCUAGAUUCUGCAAGUUGGAGAUUUUUCUAUUAUAAUUAUAUUUUGUUUUUUCAUUAAUUAAGUUUGUAUAAAACACGUUUUCUCCAUAAUAACGGUCAAUUGUGUGAUUUAGAAAAGGUCAGUCGUAACGCCAAAAUAAUAAUUUCUCAUUGUAUUUUUGUAAAAAUUAAAUGUAUUUUGUCCGGAAUCUCACAUGAUAAGUGUGAUAAAAACGUAAGAGUAAUAUAUAAAAGACAAACAAUUUUAUCAUUGCUAAUUGACCAAAGAAAUAAAGAAAAUGUAAACUUAAAAAUAUCUCUUUUCAAAAUUGGGAAGAUUUUUUUUUAUUAUUUUGUUUUUGUGUUCUAUUUUUUGUUUGUUCAUGAAUGAUAUUGUUAAAAAGAAGGCACAACUUAAGCAUUAGUGAUAGUUAGGAGCUAUUUUGGGACAAUGCACAUCUAAGUAAAAAUGUUGUGACCGGUUGAUCAUAUCGAGAACCG
rnacentral:lncRNA from 1 species